rnacentral:lncRNA from 1 species
UGAUUUUGCUGCGAGUUUCUGUUUUAGUGUGUAUGUAUUCCUUAAUGUGUGUAUUGUGGUUUUCAUGGUGUUUGUGUGUGUGUGUGUACUGGCAAAACUCACUUUUCAGGACCAAAGUAUGAAUAAACACCUUUUUAGUGGGGACCGACUACAAAGUGGGGACCAGGUUUUGGUCCCGAUUUUUUGACUACAGAAAUGGGUUCUACACGUGUCAAAACGUGUAUAUAUGAAAUAAAAACGAGGUCCUCGAAAGUCACGAAGAUCGAAAAUUUUUACACUCCAUGUGUAAAAAAGUGUGUAUUUUUUUGGUCCCAUAUUGUUUGCAUGGUAUUUUUGUGUAAAAUUCUUACACACCCUCCCUCGUUUUCGAUGCGCAAUACAUUUGAACCGUAUAAUCAGCUGUUGAACUAAUACUUCUGAGGUCAAAACGUUUACACACUUUUCUGUACUCGUGCACAAAAUGCAUAAUUGAAAGUACUAAUUCUGAUUGGCGAAUGGAUAAAAUGGCAGCAAAAUAGCAAUUAAUCGUCAUCAACGAUACUAUAAACUGGAUAAAAGUUGAAUUUUCUCAAAAAUAUCGUUAAUCUUAGGUAAGUCAAUUAAAGAAAUUUGAUAGAUUAAUAUAAUUU